UCCGAGGGAGCGCGCUGCUUUUGAAACCGGAGGUGGAGGUAUGCAGAUCUUAAAGGUGGGCUGGACGCAUCUGACACUCCGGGCCUCGAGUGGCGGCCACAGGAGGGGGCAAGUGGGUCGGCGGGGACCUCUGCGUGGGGUUUGGCUGGCAGUGGCCACAGCUUUUUUCACUGGGCACGCUUUGGGCCGGCCACGAGCUGUGAGCCAUGCUGGCCAGGCCGCUGAACCUCCCUCCAAACUUUCUCAGCCUGUCAUCAGCUUCAACUGCUGCAUCUCAAUUUCAGCUCCACAGGAGAGUGAAUCUGAUAAUGAUUCAGUUCAGACAUGGUUGAUUCUCUUGGGCAAAGCUCUUGUGCCAGACUACAUCAUAGUCAUCCAUUCAUUUGUUUAUUUAACAACUAUGCAUAGGCCACUAGCCAGCCUCUAGAUUGUCUCUCUAUAAGGUAGGUGCCCAAUCGUGAUCUAAUAGCUAUGUUUGUGUGGAGUGGAGGACAAGGUCAUAGAGUGGUGAGAGGAUGGGAAUCUAUUUUUUUAUGUUUAUUCAUUUUGAGAGAGAGAGAGAAUGAGCAGGGGAGAGGGAGAGAGACAGAAUCCCAGGCAGGCUUCAAGCUGCCAGGGCAGAGCCAAAUGCGGGGCUCGAACCCACUAACCAUGAGAUCAUGACCUGAGCCGAAAUGAAGAGUUGGAUGCUUAACCGACUGAGCCACCCAGGCACCCCAGGAUGGAGAUGCAUAUUUCAGAAACUGGGGGCUAUGGACAUACCAUGCAUUCUACCCCAUGGCCACUUCAGGGGGAUAAUAAUUUGUUUCAGCAAGGCGUUUGACAGAUAUAGUUGAAAACAAUUCAAAAUUAACAAUCCUGGUAUUGAGAGAGUGAUAUUUUGUAUUACUUGUCAGCAAGAGUAUCUUUUGUUUGAGAUGGGAGUAUUGAAGGUGAUAGUUAACUUGGGGGGGGCAGAGGGAGGGGGAGAAGAGUUUAUUUUAACAUGAGAACUAAAGAGUGAUUCUUUUCUGCUGUGAUGUGUGGUUGUAGGAGCAACUACGAGAAGGUGAAGAUUCCAGAGGAAAUUCUAUCCCCUAAAGCCAUGAUAUCGAUAAUUUUGGUCUGGAAGAUAUUCUGAGGAAAGAAGCUUAGAAAUGUUUGAUUUUUGAGCAUGAAUUAAUGUAUAGUUCAUAAAUUAAAUAAACGGAUUCACUAAGUAA